rnacentral:rRNA from 1 species
AGCCGAGGACUCUGCCCGGACUGCCGGCGCAAGCCGCGAGGAAGGCGGGGAUGACGUCAAAAUCAGCACGGCCCUUACUUCCGGGGCGACACACGUGUUACAAUGGGGGGUACAGCGGGACGCCACGCGGCGACGCGGCGCGGAACCCGAAAUCCCCCCUCAGUUCGGAUCGGAGUCUGCAACCCGACUCCGUGAAGCUGGAUUCGCUAGUAAUCGCGCAUCAGCCAUGGCGCGGUGAAUACGUUCCCGGGCCUUGUACACACCGCCCGUCAAGCCAUGGGAGCCGGGAGUGCCUGAAGUGCGUGACCGUAACCGGUAACGGCUAGGGCAAGACCGGUGACUGGGGCUAAGUCGUAACAAGGU